rnacentral:rRNA from 1 species
UAGCCGGCCUGAGAGGGCGACCGGCCACACUGGGACUGAGACACGGCCCAGACUCCUACGGGAGGCAGCAGUGGGGAAUAUUGCACAAUGGGCGAAAGCCUGAUGCAGCGACGCCGCGUGAGGGAUGACGGCCUUCGGGUUGUAAACCUCUUUCAGCAGGGAAGAAGCGAAAGUGACGGUACCUGCAGAAGAAGCGCCGGCUAACUACGUGCCAGCAGCCGCGGUAAUACGUAGGGCGCAAGCGUUGUCCGGAAUUAUUGGGCGUAAAGAGCUCGUAGGCGGCUUGUCGCGUCGAUUGUGAAAGCCCGGGGCUUAACUCCGGGUCUGCAGUCGAUACGGGCAGGCUAGAGUGUGGUAGGGGAGAUCGGAAUUCCUGGUGUAGCGGUGAAAUGCGCAGAUAUCAGGAGGAACACCGGUGGCGAAGGCGGAUCUCUGGGCCAUUACUGACGCUGAGGAGCGAAAGCGUGGGGAGCGAACAGGAUUAGAUACCCUGGUAGUCCACGCCGUAAACGGUGGGCACUAGGUGUUGGCGACAUUCCACGUCGUCGGUGCCGCAGCUAACGCAUUAAG